rnacentral:lncRNA from 1 species
AUCGGCCCUUUCUUCAAAUAAGAGCAGUUGGAACAACAAAAGCUGUUCAGUUGUACCCUUGGAAUCCACGGAAAUCCUGGGUAGGGAAGCUCCAGUACCACCAACUGGAAAGACUGGGAAUGCCUAGUAGCUGGUACUGGCCAUUGUCGUAGGCUUUGUCCACUUUGACAAACUGAAGACGGGGACUCGACUCACCUUCGCCAGCCACAGGAGGACCUCCAGACGAGGACCGGACUCGCCGCCUUUCUUUCCCGUCAGAAAGGGAUCCCUUGCGGACAAGACCGAAGUGAGUAGCUGGUUUCCCCUACGUGUCCUUCCGGGGCUGGGUGUCUCGGGAGCUCAGGCUGACAGGAGACCUAACUACCGGCGACUGAGACCAGCAGGAGCCUGGAGGGGCGCGCACCAGGGUGGAGGUUUGGUGCCGGGGGUUGAGAACAACAGUCAAACCCUCUUCUUCCCUGUACCGCGCACCUGCCCCCUGGGAUGCCGAACGAAGUGGCCCCUAAGGCUUCUCUGCAGGUCCAACCGAAACAGGCCUGAAGUUCCAGGAUGGGCGAGAGGAUCCUCUUUGAGCGAAACCAGCCUUCUGCCUGGCUGGCCCUGGUCAACACACUCGGAAGAGGCCGAUUUGGAGGACAGAACGGAAGAAAAGACCUAAAGUAGAUGAUCCUCAUCCAAUCACUUAAAGGCCUGAAUAGAACCAAAAGUCUGACCUGCCCAUGAGUAAGAGAGAGCUCCUUCUGCCUGAUUGCUUCAGCUGAGAUAUCAGCCUUUUCCUGCCUUUGGAAUUGAACUGCAACACUGGCUCUUCCUGGGCCUCAAGCCUGCCAGCUUUUGAACUGUAAUCACACCAUCAUCUCUCCUGGUUCUCAGGCCUUUGGACUCAAAUCAGAAACACACCAUGGGCUCUCCUGUGUCUCAAGCUUGCCAACUGUGAUCUUGAGACUUCUCAGCCUCCAUAAUCACAUGAGUCAAUUGUUGGUUCUGUUUCUCUGGAGAACCCUAAUCCAUCACUUUACAUAUUUCUUCCAUUACACAUAUUGUUUCCCAGCAUAUUAAAUAAUUUACUGAUUA